AGCACGAGUGAAGGCGUUAGCAGAGGCAAAUUUGGUGGGAAGAGAUGUUGCAGUGCAUGUCGUACAUCAUUUGCUAUCGGCCAUCGCCAUCGCCAAAGAGCACCCCACCCUUCAAGGCUUAAUUGCGCAAGGAAUGGACGGUCUGAGAAACCUCCUUCCUCCUCUUCCCCCACCUAUGGCUCUGCUGAAGAGCAGCGCCGUCUCUAACACACGUUUGGAUGAAGAGGACAACUAUACCCCAGGUUAUAGCCCGGCUCGAAGCGUGGACAUCCCCGCUAGCCAACCAGAUCCAAGCGAGGACAUCCGGGAUAACGAUCCGGAUCCGAACGAUGACAUUCCGGCCCCGGUGGAGUGCCUUCUUCACGUACAAAUGCCUGGGAAGCCUAUAGGGGAUCGAACAAGAAACCCUGAUCAGCGUGCGUGCGGGCGUUGCAUAUCGAUCUGACACGUGAUUUUGUGCAACCAACUAAGCAAGGUGACAUGCAGUGUGAGGUCUGUAAUAAAACUGUCCGAAAACUGUACCAACUUGAAGGUCUGAAGCUGAGCUAGAAGCUGAUACCCAACUGAGGGUCCCAGAAUUGUACCAACUGAAGGUCCGAAGCUAAGCUAACUGAAGGUCCAGGUCUAUGAUGCAUUUUAGCAAGCGCGAUUCUGCAGAAAUAUGAAACGAAACUACACCCCACCACCCUAAAUACCGUAGUAAUGCCUAAAGAAGAGAAAUAGUGUCAAACCUGAAGAUUGUGUUUUCUGUACUGAAAUGGAAUCUAUUCAGCAUUUAUUCUUUGAU